UACGAAGGUGGCAAGCGUUACUCGGAAUUACUAGGCGUAAAGGGCAGGUAGGUGGUCUGAUAAGUCUGUUGUGAAAGCUCCUGGCUUAACUGGGAGAGGUCAACAGAAACUAUCAGGCUUGAGUGUGGGAGAGGAUACUGGAAUUCCCGGUGUAGCGGUGAAAUGCGCAGAGAUCGGGAGGAACACCAAUGGCGAAAGCAGGUAUCUGGACCACUACUGACACUCAGCUGCGAAAGCGUGGGGAGCGAACAGG
rnacentral:rRNA from 1 species